rnacentral:rRNA from 1 species
UGGGGAAUAUUGCACAAUGGGCGAAAGCCUGAUGCAGCGACGCCGCGUGAGGGAUGACGGCCUUCGGGUUGUAAACCUCUUUCAGCAGGGAAGAAGCGAAAGUGACGGUACCUGCAGAAGAAGCGCCGGCUAACUACGUGCCAGCAGCCGCGGUAAUACGUAGGGCGCAAGCGUUGUCCGGAAUUAUUGGGCGUAAAGAGCUCGUAGGCGGUUAGUCGCGUCUGCUGUGAAAACUCGAGGCUCAACCUCGGGCUUGCAGUGGGUACGGGCUGACUAGAGUGCGGUAGGGGUGACUGGAAUUCCUGGUGUAGCGGUGGAAUACGCAGAUAUCAGGAGGAACACCGAUGGCGAAGGCAGGUCACUGGGCCGCAACUGACGCUGAGGAGCGAAAGCAUGGGGAGCGAACAGGAUUAGAUACCCUGGUAGUCCAUGCCGUAAACGUUGGGCACUAGGUGUGGGGUCCAUUCCACGGAUUCCGUGCCGCAGCAAACGCAUUAAGUGCCCCGCCUGGGGAGUACGGCCGCAAGGCUAAAACUCAAAUGAAUUGACGGGGUCAUAGCUGUUU